rnacentral:rRNA from 1 species
GACGAACGCUGGCGGCGUGCUUAACACAUGCAAGUCGAACGGAAAGGCCCUGCUUUUGUGGGGUGCUCGAGUGGCGAACGGGUGAGUAACACGUGAGUAACCUGCCCUUGACUUUGGGAUAACUUCAGGAAACUGGGGCUAAUACCGGAUAGGAGCUCCUGCUGCAUGGUGGGGGUUGGAAAGUUUCGGCGGUUGGGGAUGGACUCGCGGCUUAUCAGCUUGUUGGUGAGGUAGUGGCUUACCAAGGCUUUGACGGGUAGCCGGCCUGAGAGGGUGACCGGCCACAUUGGGACUGAGAUACCGCCCAGACUCCUACGGGAGGCAGCAGUGGGGAAUAUUGCACAAUGGGCGGAAGCCUGAUGCAGCAACGCCGCGUGCGGGAUGACGGCCUUCGGGUUGUAAACCGCUUUCGCCUGUGACGAAGCGUGAGUGACGGUAAUGGGUAAAGAAGCACCGGCUAACUACGUG